rnacentral:rRNA from 1 species
UGAAUACGAGACGCUAAGGCGUCGAAGUAGUGUAUGUCAUACUUCCAAGAAAAGCUUGCACUGUCAUAGAUAAAAAACGCCUGUACCAUAACCGACACAGGUGGGUAGGUAGAGUAUACUAAGGGGCGCGAGAUAACUCUCUCUAAGGAACUCGGCAAAAUAACUCCGUAACUUCGGGAGAAGGAGUGCCUUAUUCUUAAGGUUGCAAUAACAAGAUCCAAGCAACUGUUUAUCAAAAACACAGGUCUCCGCUAAGUCGUAAGACGAUGUAUGGGGGCUGACGCCUGCCCAGUGCCAGAAGGUUAAAGAAGCUGGUUAGCAUUUGCGAAGCUAGUAACUGAAGCCCUGGUGAACGGCGGCCGUAACAAUAACGGUCCUAAGGUAGCGAUAUUCCUUGUCGGGUAAGUUCCGACCCGCACGAAAGGCGUAAUGAUUUGGAUACUGUCUCGGAGAGGGGCUCGGUGAAAUAGACUUGUCUGUGAAGAUGCGGACUACCUGCACCAGGACAGAAAGACCCUAUGAAGCUUUACUGUAACUAAAAAUUGAAAUUGGACUUUAUUCGCGCAGUAUAGGUGGGAGGCGUUGAUUAUAAUCUUGCGGGAUUAUUGGAGCCAUUAGUGAGAUACCACUCUUGUAAUGUUAGAUUUCUAACUUUGAAUCAUUAUCUGGUCAAAGAACAGUCUCAGGCGGGCAGUUUGACUGGGGCGGUCGCCUCCCAAACGGUAACGGAGGCGUACAAAGGUUUCCUCUGAACGGUUAGAAAUCGUAUCUAGAGUGUAAAGGCAUAAGGAAGCUUGACUGUGAGACCUACAAGUCGAGCAGGGACGAAAGUCGGUCUUAGUGAUCUGACGGUACUGAGUGGAAAGGCCGUCACUCAACGGAUAAAAGUUACUCUAGGAUAACAGGCUGAUCUCCCCCAAGAGUUCACAUCGACGGGGAGGUUUGGCACCUCGAUGUCGGCUCAUCGCAUCCUGGGGCGGUAGUACGUCCCAAGGGUUGGGCUGUUCGCCCAUGAAAGCGGUACGCGAGCUGGGUUCAGAACGUCGUGAGACAGUUCGGUCCAUAUCCGGUGUAGGCGUUAGAAUAUUGAGAGGAGCCUUCUUUAGUACGAGAGGACCGAGAAGGACAUACCUCUGGUGUACCAGUUAUCGUGCCAACGGUAGACGCUGGGUAGCUAUGUAUGGAGUGGAUAACCGCUGUAAGCAUCUAAGUGGGAAGCCCACCUCAAGAUAAGUAUUCUCAU